UGCGAGAAUGGAGAAAUGGCGUCUUGCGAGGUUCAUAUCCUCGAUAACGGGUGGUUCGAAUCCACCGCUCGCAUCCA
rnacentral:tRNA from 1 species